GUUAAGAAUGUCUGAGGGGCCAGGCGGUGCCGGCAAGAUGGCUGCGCUUGAGAAUAUGACGUUUCCAGAGAAACCAAGCCACAGAAAGUACAAGGCUGCCCUGAAGAAGGAGAAACGAAAGAAAUGUCGGCAAGAACUUGCUCGACUGAGAGACUCAGGACUCUCACAGAAGGAGGAGGAGGAGGAGGACACUUUAUUGAAGAACAACAACUAGAAGAAGAGAAGCUAUUGGAAAGAGAGAGGCAAAGAUUACAUGAGGAGUGGUUGCUGAGAGAGCAGAAGGCACAAGAAGAAUUCAGAAUAAAGAAGGAAAAGGAAGAGGCAGCUAAAAAAUGGCAAGAAGAACAAGAGAGAAAGUUAAAGGAACAAUGGAAAGAACAGCAGAGGAAAGAUAGAGAAGAGGAGGACCAGAAACGACAGAAGAAAGAAAAAGAAGAAGCUAUGCAGAAGAUGCUGGAUCAGGCUGAAAAUGAGUUAGAAAAUGGUACCAUAUGGCAAAACCCUGAACCACCUGUGGAUUUCAGAGUAAUGGAGAAGGAUCGAGCUAAUUGUCCCUUCUACAGUAAAACAGGAGCUUGCAGAUUUGGAGACAGAUGUUCACGUACACAUAAUUUCCCAACAUCCAGUCCUACCCUUCUUAUUAGGAGUAUGUUUACAACGUUUGGAAUGGAGCAGUGCAGGAGGGAUGACUAUGACCCUGAUGCAAGCCUGGAGUAUAGCAAGGAAGAAAUCUACCAACAGUUCCUAGAUUUCUAUGAGGAUGUGUUGCCCAAGUUCAAGAACGUGGGGAAGGUGAUUCAGUUCAAGGUCAGCUGCAAUUUAGAACCUCACCUGAGGGGCAAUGUAUAUGUUCAGUACCAGUCAGAAGAAGAAUGCCAAGCAGCCCUUUCUUUGUUUAAUGGACGAUGGUAUGCAGGACGACAGCUGCAAUGUGAAUUCUGCCCAGUGACCCGGUGGAAAAUGGCGAUUUGUGGUUUAUUUGAAAUACAACAGUGUCCAAGAGGAAAACACUGCAACUUUCUUCAUGUGUUCAGAAAUCCCAACAAUGAAUUCUGGGAAGCUAACAGAGACAUCCACUUGUCUCCAGAUCAGACUGGCUCCUCCUUUGGCAAGAACUCCGAGAGAAGGGAGAGGAUGGGCCACCACAACCACUACUCCAGCAGGCUGCGGGGAAGUAGAAACCCUAGUCCAGACCACUCCUACAAAAGAAAUGGGGAAUCUGAGAGGAAAAGGAAUAGUCACAGGGGGAAGAAAUCUCACAAACGCACAUCAAAGAGUCGGGAGAAGCACAAUUCACCAAGCAGCGGAAGAAACAGGCACCGCAGCCAGGGCCAGGGCAGCCGGAGCCAGAGCCGCAGGAGCCACCACAGCUGGAGCCAAAGUUCCUCUAGGUCCUGAAGUGGUGGCAGGAGGAGGUCGGGUAAUAGAGGCAGAACUGUUCAGAGCCCCAAAUCCAAAUAAACUAGUUUUGUUCUAAAAAAAAAAAAAAAGAAAGAAAGAAGAAGAAGAA